CUAACAAGGAUUCCCCUAGUAACGGCGAGUGAAGCGGGAAGAGCUCAAAUUUGUAAUCUGGCGGUCUACGGCCGUCCGAGUUGUAAUCUGGAGAAGCGUUUUCGGCGCCGGUCCGCGUACAAGUCCCCUGGAACGGGGCGUCGCAGAGGGUGAGAAUCCCGUCUUUGACGCGGUCCACCGGUGCCAUGUGAUGCGCUCUCGAAGAGUCGAGUUGUUUGGGAAUGCAGCUCAAAACGGGUGGUAAAUUCCAUCUAAAGCUAAAUACUGGCGAAAGACCGAUAGCGAACAAGUACCGUGAGGGAAAGAUGAAAAGCACUUUGGAAAGAGAGUCAAACAGUACGUGAAAUUGUUGAAAGGGAAACGCUUGAAGUCAGUCGCGUCUCUCGGGACUCAGCCGAGACUUACCUCUCGGUGCAUUUCCCGAGUCUGGACGGGCCAGCAUCGGUUUCGACCGUCGUAAAAAGGCGUGAGGAAUGUGGCACCCUCGGGUGUGUUAUAGCCUCUCGUCGUAUGCGACGGACGGGACCGAGGAACGCAGCGCGCCCCUCGCGGGGCCGGGGUUCGCCCACGUAACGCGCUUAGGAUGCUGGCGUAAUGGCUUUAA
rnacentral:rRNA from 1 species